AUACGGAGGGUGCAAGCGUUGCUCGGAAUCACUGGGCGUAAAGGGUGCGUAGGCGGUCUUUUAAGUCAGAUGUGAAAGCCCUCGGCUCAACCGGGGAACUGCAUUUGAAACUGAAAGACUUGAGUACGGUAGAGGGAAGCGGAAUUCCAGGUGUAGCGGUGAAAUGCGUUGAUAUCUGGAGGAACACCAGUGGCGAAGGCGGCUUCCUGGGCCGAUACUGACGCUAAGGCACGAAAGCGUUGGGUAGCAAACGGGAUUAGAAACCCUAGUAGUCC
rnacentral:rRNA from 1 species